rnacentral:rRNA from 1 species
UCACUGGUCGAGUCGGCCUGCGCGGAAGAUGUAACGGGGCUAAACCAUGCACCGAAGCUGCGGCAGCGACACUAUGUGUUGUUGGGUAGGGGAGCGUUCUGUAAGCCUGUGAAGGUGGCCUGUGAGGUAUGCUGGAGGUAUCAGAAGUGCGAAUGCUGACAUAAGUAACGAUAAAGCGGGUGAAAAGCCCGCUCGCCGGAAGACCAAGGGUUCCUGUCCAACGUUAAUCGGGGCAGGGUGAGUCGA